rnacentral:piRNA from 1 species
UGAAAUUUUUCAAAGUUUAAAAUUGC